AAGAAAAAAGUGAAUGUUCAUGCACAUCCUAGCUUAAUUUCUCUUUAAAUAGCUCUUUGGAAUAGAAUCAAGGAACUUACCAAAUCCAUUACAAGCAUAAAUUUCUUACACCUUCAAUAAAGCUCAAGUCCUUUAAAGCAUCAGAAUUCAGCCAUGAACACCACAUUACUUCAUUCACUCAGCAUAGGUACCUAUAAUCAACUGCAUAAGUCAAUACUCAACAAAUUCUUACCUGAUCCUGCCAAUGAACGCCAAUUGUCAACAACAACGUCAAAGCAAAGUAGAAUAUAUUCGAUUAUAAACAAGCUUGGAAGGAAGGCUGAUAACUUUUCGCAAGAAGUACGAGAACAUGGUGAGUAUUCAUGUAAACUUGAUAUAGCCAUAUAGGUUCCCACAUCCCAAGUGAUAAACUGAUAAUGCAUGCACUACGAGGUGCUAGUUCAAUGUAAAACUUGUUUGUACAAUUUUUUUUUCAUAAAUAUGCCGAACAAUAUAUGUAUGUUCCUACCUAUUUAUUGUUAUCUUUAAAUAGAGAUCAACUAACAUAAA